GUAGGGUGCAGGCGUUAAUCGGAAUUACUGGGCGUAAAGCGUGCGCAGGCGGUUAUGCAAGACAGAUGUGAAAUCCCCGGGCUCAACCUGGGAACUGCAUUUGUGACUGCAUGGCUAGAGUGCGGCAGAGGGGGAUGGAAUUCCGCGUGUAGCAGUGAAAUGCGUAGAUAUGCGGAGGAACACCGAUGGCGAAGGCAAUCCCCUGGGCCUGCACUGACGCUCAUGCACGAAAGCGUGGGGAGCAAACAGGAUUAGAUACCCUGGUAGUCCACGCCCUAAACGAUGUCAACUGGUUGUUGGGAGGGUUUCUUCUCAGUAACGUAGCUAACGCGUGAAGUUGACCGCCUGGGGAGUACGGCCGCAAGGUUG
rnacentral:rRNA from 1 species